GGAUGUGAGGGCGAUCUGGCUGCGACAUCUGUCACCCCAUUGAUCGCCAGGGUUGAUUCGGCUGAUCUGGCUGGCUAGGCUGGUGUCCCCUUCCUCCCUCACCGCUCCAUGUGCGCCCCUCCCGAAGCUGCGUGCUCGAUCGAAGAGGACGACCAUCCCCGAUAGAGGAGAGGACCGUUCUUCGGUCAAGGGUAUACGAGUAGCUGCGCUCCCCUGCUAGAACCUCCAAACAAGCUCUCAAGGUCCUGAGGCACCAAUUAGAAAAAUCUUGUCUCCAAAUGGGAAACUUGCUCUUU
rnacentral:snRNA from 1 species